rnacentral:rRNA from 1 species
AGGACGAACGCUGGCGGCGUGCUUAACACAUGCAAGUCGAGCGGAAAGGCCUUUCGGGGUACUCGAGCGGCGAACGGGUGAGUAACACGUGAGUAAUCUGCCCAUCGCUUCAGGAUAGCCAUCGGAAACGGUGAUUAAUACUGGAUAUGACAUUCCUUCGCAUGUUGGGGUGUGGAAAGUUUUUUCGGCGGUGGAUGUGCUCGCGGCCCAUCAGCUUGUUGGUGGGGUAAUGGCCUACCAAGGCUUUGACGGGUAGCCGGCCUGAGAGGGUGACCGGCCACACUGGGACUGAGACACGGCCCAGACUCCUACGGGAGGCAGCAGUGGGGAAUAUUGGACAAGUGGGCGGAAGCCUGAU